GUAGGUGGCAAGCGUUGUCCGGAAUUAUUGGGCGUAAAGCGCGCGCAGGCGGUCCUUUAAGUCUGAUGUGAAAGCCCACGGCUCAACCGUGGAGGGUCAUUGGAAACUGGGGGACUUGAGUACAGAAGAGGAGAGCGGAAUUCCAAGUGUAGCGGUGAAAUGCGUAGAGAUUUGGAGGAACACCAGUGGCGAAGGCGGCUUUCUGGUCUGUAACUGACGCUGAGGCGCGAAAGCGUGGGGAGCAAACAGGGAUUAGAUACCCUGGUAGUCCACGCCGUAAACGAUGAGUGCUAAGUGUUAGGGGGGUUUCCGCCCCCUUAGUGCUGCAGCUAACGCAUUAAGCACUCCGCCUGGGGAGUACGGCCGCAAGGCUG
rnacentral:rRNA from 1 species